AUUGAACGCUGGCGGCAUGCCUUACACAUGCAAGUCGAACGGCAGCACGGGAGCAAUCCUGGUGGCGAGUGGCGAACGGGUGAGUAAUAUAUCGGAACGUGCCCGGUCGUGGGGGAUAACGUAGCGAAAGCUACGCUAAUACCGCAUACGAUCUACGGAUGAAAGCGGGGGAUCGCAAGACCUCGCGCGAUUGGAGCGGCCGAUAUCAGAUUAGGUAGUUGGUGAGGUAAAGGCUCACCAAGCCGACGAUCUGUAGCUGGUCUGAGAGGACGACCAGCCACACUGGGACUGAGACACGGCCCAGACUCCUACGGGAGGCAGCAGUGGGAAUUUUGGACAAAUGGGCGCAAGCCUGAUCCAGCAAUGCCGCGUGCAGGAUGAAGGCCUUCGGGUU
rnacentral:rRNA from 1 species